AUUCGAACCUGCAGCAGGUUCGGGUCGAACGUAGUGAGACAACGGAGCCGUUUACGGCGACGGCCCGAAGGGCGAGCGAAGCGAGUCAUCCUGCACGACCCACCA
rnacentral:sRNA from 1 species